rnacentral:rRNA from 1 species
GACAGAGGUGCCGAGCGUUAGGCGGAAUCACUGGGCUUAAAGCGUGUGUAGGCGGCGGCGUAAGUACCUUGUGAAAUCCCACGGCUCAACCGUGGAACUGCUCGGUAUACUGCGUCGCUUGAGCCAGCUAGGGGCGACCGGAACAAAACGGUGGAGCGGUGAAAUGCGUAGAUAUCGUUUGGAAACGCCGAUGGUGAAAACAGGUCGCUGGGGCUGUGC